rnacentral:lncRNA from 1 species
CUUGCAACAUCAUCCUUAAGCCCAGAUCAGCGAGGUUAGAGCGUCUAACUUGCAAGGUAAUAGAUCUGAUCUAUUGUUUAAUACAUACAUUAGAUGUGGUAUAGAAACAUGUUGAUAUGAUCAACAUGUAGUUCAUGCUAUAUUUAUAUAUUUUAAUUUUUGAUUUAAUGUUAUGUAAUGAUCAUGUAAUAGGAUCUUAG